AUGCAGGCAAUCCACCAGCAGAGGGAAGAGCUGCUCCCACAUCUCCGACUGGAGAUGGAGAUGCGGGUAUCUGUUCUCCAAGAUGCCUUCAGUUUGAACUCCCAGAAAUUGAGUCACCUACAAUUUUUCUCCCAUACAAUUAGUCCCAAAGCCCCGUCCGUCUUUCCCCUCACCUCCUGCUCUGCUGAAGCCACCACCUCUCAGGUCACCUUCGGCUGCCUGGUCAAAGGCUAUUUCCCUGAGCCGGUCUCUGUGGAGUGGAGCCCCAGCAUCGGCUCCACGGGUCUGAAGACCUACCCCUCCAUGAAGCACACUUCUGGCGACCUCUACUCACUCAGCAGCCAAGCCACCGUCCCGGCCAGCAGCUGGGAAUCCAACACCUAUCACUGCAACGUCAAGCACGAACCCACCAGCUCCAGCAUCACCAAGGAAAUCCCAAAACCUGCAAGCGUCCAACCCACGGUGCAAGUCUACCACUCCUCCUGCACCACCAAGCCAAGCACCAUCCACCUGCUCUGUCUCAUCUCCGGCUUCUACCCUAUGCCCCUGACGGUGGAGUGGCUGGUGGAUGGUGUGUCUGGGCAGCUUCGUGGAGAUACGGCCCCUGCCAAGAAGGAUGCCAGUAGCCCCACCUUCAGCACCCACAGCAAGCAUCUCCCAAGAUGACUGGAUGGAGGACAAGACGUACACCUGCAGGGUGUCCCACCAGGGCAAUACAGUGGAGGACCAAGCCCGAAAGUGCAAAGACUUAUCUACAUCUACCAGCAACAUCCUGAUCUUCAUGGUGCCCCCACCCCCUUCUGAGCUCUAUGUGGGCCUCAGCCCCACGCUCACCUGCCUGGUCGUCAACCUGCCUAACGACGCUGACCUGAAAGUGGUCUGGUCCCGGGAGAAGUCAGGGCCCGUUAGCCCCGAACCCCUCGUCUUGUCUGAGCAGCGCAACCGCACCUUCACCGCCUCCAGCUCCCUGGCCAUCUUCCCCCGCGACUGGGAAGCCGGAGAGAAAUACAGCUGCAAAGUGGAGCACUCAGAGCUUCCCUCACCCAUCAUCAAAUCCAUCUCCAAGAAGCAAGGAAAGAGCUCUCCGCCCCGUGUCUACCUCCUGCGGCCCCACCCUGAGGAGCUGAGCAACAAUGGAGACUCUGUCAGCCUCACCUGCCUGGUGCGGGGAUUCUUCCCCGAGGACAUCUCAGUGAAGUGGAUGCAGGAUCACCAAUCCAGUGACAGCAACAAAUCUGUCACCACCUCGCCCAUGAAGGAAGGAGAUGGUGAUUCAACCUACUUCCUCUAUAGCAAGAUGACAGUCGACAAGGCCAACUGGAACAACGGGGCCACCUACACCUGCAUGGUCAUCCAUGAAGCUCUGACACCAAUGAAAUUCACCCAACGCAACAUCCGCCAUGUCCCCGAGGUGAUCCUGUCUGGCGAGUUUUGCGCCGAGGACGACAACGAGGAGCUCAACAGCCUCUGGAGCACCAUCUCGGUCUUCAUCACCCUCUUCCUCUUGAGCGUGUGCUACAGCGCCACGGUGACCCUGUUCAAGGUGAAGUGGCUUUUUGCCACCGUGGUGCAGCUGAAGCGUGUGAGUGGCCCCGAGUACAAGAACGUGAUCCAGCGCGUGGUGUAG